UACAGAGGGUGCAAGCGUUAAUCGGAAUGACUGGGCGUAAAGGGUGCGUAGGUGGCAUAAUAAGUUAGUUGUGAAAUCCCCGGGCUUAACCUGGGAACUGCAAUUGAUACUGUUAAGCUAGAGUUUGGUAGAGGAUAGUGGAAUUUCCGGUGUAGCGGUGAAAUGCGUAGAUAUCGGAAGGAACACCAGUGGCGAAGGCGACUAUCUGGCCCAAAACUGACACUGAGGCACGAAAGCGUGGGUAGCGAAC
rnacentral:rRNA from 1 species